rnacentral:rRNA from 1 species
GGAUUACCCGCUGAAUUUAAGCAUAUCGGUAGGCGGAGGAAAAGAAACCAAAUGGGAUUCUCUCAGUAAUGGCGAAUGAAGACAGAGUAGUCCACAGUGAUAAUUGGGCCAUCACUGGUCCGAGUUGUAUUCUGAAGGGAAGGUGCCCGUACUGACAUCGGCGAAAGUCUCGUGGAAACGAGCCCCAGUGAAGGUGAGAGGCCUGCACAUCGCUGCCUGUUUUGUACGAACGGUACCUCUUCCUGGAGUCACACUCUUUGGGAUUGGAGUGCUGGAUAGGUGGUAAAUCUCAUCUACGACUACAUAAAGGUCUGGAACCGAUAGCAGAGAAGUACCAUGAGGGAAAUGUGAAAAGGACUUUGAGAAGAGAGUUAAACAGUAUGUGAAACUGCUGAAAGGGAAGUGUAUGUAGAGCAUGCAAUUUGUGGUAAGAUUGUGCUAUCUUGGAUUCGACUGUGAGCUCUUUU